AACCUCCGCAAUGUGAGAAAUCGCGACGGGGGGAUCCCAAGUGCCAUUCUUAACGGGAUGGCUUUUCAUUAGUGUAAAGAGCUUUUGGAAUAAGGGCUGGGCAAGACCGGUGCCAGCCGCCGCGGUAACACCGGCAGCUCUAGUGGUAGCAGUUUUUAUUGGGCCUAAAGCGUCCGUAGCCGGUUUAAUAAGUCUCUGGUGAAAUCCUGUAGCUUAACUGUGGGAAUUGCUGGAGAUACUAUUAGACUUGAGACCGGGAGAGGUUAGAGGUACUCCCAGGGUAGAGGUGAAAUUCUGUAAUCCUGGGAGGACCGCCUGUUGCGAAGGCGUCUAACUGGAACGGUUCUGACGGUGAGGGACGAAAGUUAGGGGCGCGAACCGGAUUAGAUACCCGGGUAGUCCUAACUGUAAACGAUGCGGACUUGGUGUUGGGGUGGCUUUGAGCUGCUUCAGUGCCGAAGGGAAGCUGUUAAGUCCGCCGCCUGGGAAGUACGGUCGCAAGACUGAAACUUAAAGGAAGU
rnacentral:rRNA from 1 species